GAAUUCCAUGUGUAGCGGUAAAAUGCGUAGAUAUAUGGAGGAACACCAGUGGCGAAGACGGCUACCUGGUCUGUAACUGACGCUCAGGCACGAAAGCGUGGGGAGCAAAUAGGAUUAGAUACCCUAGUAGUCCACGCCCUAAACGAUGAGAACUGAGUGUUGGAUUAUUUCAGUGCUGCAGUUAACGCAAUAAGUUCUCCGCCUGAGGAGUAUGCACGCAAGUGUGAAACUUAAAGGAAUUGACGGGGGCCCGCACAAGCGGUGGAGUAUGCGGUUUAAUUCGAUGCAACGCGAAGAACCUUACCAGGCCUUGACAUCCCCUGCAAAGCUAUAGAGAUAUAGUGGAGGUUAUCAGGGUGACAGGUGGUGCAUGGUUGUCGUCAGCUCGUGUCGUGAGAUGUUGGGUUAAGUCCCGCAACGAGCGCAACCCUUGUCUUUAGUUACUAACAUUCAGUUGAGGACUCUAAAGAGACUGCCGGUGAUAAACCGGAGGAAGGUGGGGAUGACGUCAAAUCAUCAUGCCCCUUAUGGCCUGGGCUACACGCGUACUACAAUGGCGUACACAACAAGAUGCAAUAUAGCGAUAUGGAGCAAAACUUUCAAAUUACGUCUCAGUUCGGAUCGAAGUCUGCAAUUCGACUUCGUGAAGUUGGAAUCGCUAGUAAUCGCGGAUCAGCAUGCCGCGGUGAAUACGUUCUCGGGCCUUGUACACACCGCCCGUCAAACCAUGAGAGUUCGUAAUACCCGAAGCCGGUGGCCUAACCAUUUGGAGGGAGCUGUCGAAGGUAGGACGGAUGAUUGGGGUUAAGUCGUAACAAGGUAACCA
rnacentral:rRNA from 1 species